rnacentral:misc_RNA from 1 species
AUUAGCGAUUCCGACUGUGUCAAGAGGAAUUGCAGCAAAUACGCCUUUGGAGGCUACGUGACGGACAAGAUGAAAUUUCGCGAUACACACUGGAUUACCCUAGAAAUCGGAUACGAUUAACUCUUGGUAUUUCGACUGCCCCAUAAUCCAUUCCGGAUUACACGGACACGAAGCUAACCUGAGAUACUGAGGCAAUCGCUUGGUCUGGCGCGAUUGAAUCGCGAGAUCGCAGCAAAUUGAAAAGACGCGAGGAACGAGG